rnacentral:rRNA from 1 species
AACGAACGCUGGCGGCAUGCCUAACACAUGCAAGUCGAACGGGAUCCUAGCUUGCUAGGUGAGAGUGGCGGACGGGUGAGUAACACGUGGGAAUCUGCCUUUUGGUUCGGGAUAACCGCGGGAAACUGCGGCUAAUACCGAAUGCCCUCGAGAGAGGAAAGAUUUAUCGCCAGAAGAGGAGCCCGCGUCCGAUUAGGUAGUUGGUGGGGUAAAAGGCCUACCAAGCCGACGAUCGGUAGCUGGUCUGAGAGGAUGAUCAGCCACACUGGGACUGAGAUACGGCCCAGACUCCUACGGGAGGCAGCAGUGGGGAAUAUUGGACAAUGGGGGCAACCCUGAUCCAGCAAUGCCGCGUGAGUGAUGAAGGCCUUAGGGUUGUAGAGCUCUUUUGCCAGGGAAGAUGAUGACUGUACCUGGAGAAUAAGCCCCGGCUAACUUCGUGCCAGCAGCCGCGGUAAU